rnacentral:lncRNA from 1 species
UAGAGACCCACUUUCCCCCCUUCAGCUGCCUCUGUGUUCUUUCAUCCUCCCAAUUUCUCUGGAGAACCCUAGCUGCCUCCCCUUUUAAUCCCUCCAUAAUCUCGUUGAACAUGGGAUUCCUUCAUUAUUUGCUUACCAUAUAUAUGUUCCUCCGCUACUUGUCACGGGUUUGUGGUAUUACCUAGGUACUUCCCAAUUUUGGCAAGUACCAUCUCCUAGAUCGGACUGGAUCGACCACAAUCUUUGAGAUUUGCACAACAUUUAGUCCAUAUACAUGAAGAAUGGCUUUAUUCCUCACACCAGUUGUCCGAUUUCAAGCAUUAAACCCUAACUAGGGUUUGAAAUUUGAUUUCUUGCCUUAUAGGUUACUUUACUGAUUGCAUGUAUAUUUUUCUUUCAUUGUUUAUGUUUGCUUAAUUUCUUUCCUUAUUUACUUUUUUUAUUUGACUGCUAUAAAAAUCCUUCCCCUAAUUCCCUUAAAUGGAACUUAAUGACUAUUGCUACUCUCUCACUCUUACUUAUCCUAUACUACUCUGAAACUUAAUUUCUUGGCCGGCUGAAAGCCAGGGCCACCUGAAUUCGAUUAUUGGACCUUUUUUAGUAUAAGAACUACUCAGGGUUCAACCCUUGGGAACUCUAACACACUGAUAUUCUUAGGUUCUACUACUCAUAUUGCCAUUGACAAUUGAGAUAUUGCUGAAAUUAUUCUUCUUGUUUACUGGUUUGCCUAUCGGUAACUGGUAAGUCCUUUGGUCUUCACAUUUUCAUCUUUUCUUUAUGUUCAUGAACUUUGUUUGAACUAAUGUGUUACCAUGCUAUCUCUGUUUACAUUCCUAUUUGCUUUAGAGUUAAUUUGUGAUUUUAAACUUUUUCUAACACUAGAACUUGCCUAAUUUUUAACCCUGAUUCUUGAUUUCUUAAGCAUGCUUAGCUUAAUGUUUUGUAUCUUUGUCAGUACUUAUGUCUACUUCCUGCUAUGAUCCUAUCUUCCUACCUUAUUUAAGACUCUUGUGAGAAACCACCUCAUUGCGCUAAUUGUGUUCGUAUACAUUAUUUUCAUUAGGUCAUUCAUGUGUAACUUGUUAACUUCUUCAAUGAUCAUGUAAUUUUUGAAUCUCAUUACUGCAUCAAUCUCUUAAAGAAGUAUGACAUGUUUUCAGUAAUUUUAAUAUGCUAUUUGACCUACUCAAUUCUGUGUUUCUAAGUGUUGCCCAAGGCUUUCUAGGGUAAAACCUAAUGUAUAGCCUUUUCCUAUAUAUGAUCAGGUGGAACUAGGCUUGAUAAUCACAUAUCUUGUUUACCUAGGGUUGAUAUUUUCAUCUACCAUGAAUCCUAAUGUCUGCCUGUCUUGUUAGCCCAAAGUUGGCAUGUUACAUAUUAUUAGUUGUUUAGAAUCUUUGUGCUAUAGUUAAUGUUUGUCAUUUUAUGUUUCAUGUUCAACUAAGUAUGUUUGCCAAACUAUGUUACUUGUAUGUUGUUAUGCCAGGCUUUGAUGUUAAAAUUCUCAUAUAAAGAUUUCAUUCCACCCCCUUCUUGUUUGCGAUUCUGCUAGGCUGUCAUCGGAAGUUCUUUAGGUUGGUUCUACUUUGAGACAUUGUUUGCAUUAAUUUGCUAGCUUGUGAUAUCCUAUCUUGUCAUUGUUAAAUCUUGUUUUCUGGAUUUACUUGCCCAAAUGUAUCUUUGGUUCCUUUCAACUUAGCAUGGCCUUGUUUAUUUGUUGAAACUGCAACUAUUUCAGUUGUAAGAACUAAGUGUUUAAGUUAUUCUAUGAGUAGUUCAUUUACUUGUAUGGCUAAAUUUGGCAUCCAUUAGCUUAAUUACUUCAAUUGUUUGGGCCUGGUAUGUUGGGUCUCCUUUGGUAUUAGGUCUGCCUUUGGUACAUUGUCUACACCUGGAGUUUGGACCUGCUGUCCGCAAGUUUCGAGUCUAUUUGAGGCCCAGAUAUGUUACUGGGUUAUUCUUUAUUUGUAAUUGGGCAUGUAUUGUUCAAUAUGGUUUGUAAUAACUUGUAAAACUGAAUGAUGGGGAUAUUAGUUAAGAAAGGGGGACGAGGGUUGGGGUAUUAUAAUUCUUGCAUGAAUGGGUAGAAAAUAUGUCCAUAGGGUUUAAUUGCUUUGUUUGAUAUUUGUUUGACUUACUUUAAUUCUGCACACUAAUAGAAAGCAUGCUUAUAGGAACUCAAACACGUCACCUACUGAACCUGUCUAAUGCUCGCACAUUGUCAGAAACGUGUUUGUAUUAACCUAAGUGUUUUAUUUAUUCAUGUGUUUACUUUUAUGCACUAUUACAUAGCAUGACUAUAGGAAUCAAAUAUAAUUUAGUAUUUGCUCAAUUUGUGCAAUUGCAGUGUGAUUAUUAGAAAACAUGCCUACAAGAUCGUGUUAAAUAAUUAAUAUAUGCUUCCACUGAUAUUCAUCUAUAGACCAUGUCUAUAAGGCCUUAAUUGAUUAACUAAUUGGUUGCCUUGUUGUUCCUAUCACAUUGCCGCAUAGACAACAUGCCCAUAGGAAUAAACAUAAUAAAUUUGUGUUCAAAUACCAACUAUUAGAGAAUCUGCAUGUAGGAUACUACUACUCGGUUAGAAAGCAUGCUAAAUGGAUUAAAAAAAUGAGUAAUUAUGAGUUUUCCAAUGGCCUGACUUCCCCAAGCGCAAAUCAUUUGGAGACCAUGUUUAUAGGCUUUUAUAACAUUUCUAAUUUGUAAAUUCAAUAAUCUGGUCAGCAGCACUACCCAUGAGAUGUUCUUAAACUAUGUGGUCACAUAGAAGCCAUGACUAUAUAUUUUAACAACUCCAAUAUAUCUCGAUUCUAAAAUCGCCUACUCUAGAUCUGAAUAUGUCCGCGUGCUUUUGUUGCUUAUAUGUGGAGGCUAACUUGAGCCACUCGUUGUUUUUACAUGUAGCCGAACUUAUUUUUGAACAUGCUCGUAGUUUUAUCAUUUUGAAUGCCCUAAGUAAAGUCUAGAACCACCCAAAUAGUAGGUCCAAAGCUUCUUGGAGCAUAGGCAUGAGACGGGUAGUGUAGACAUAGGAUACAACCUAGAAUUGAACUAGAGCACUUUAGGUAAGCAACUUUAAUAUAGUAAUUGGGUAGCAGGAGAUGAAAGUCUAUGCCCACUGAAUAAUAUGAGCAACCCCUACCCUAAGGUAAUUGCAAAGUAUUAUUUAUAUUGCACGGGAUGAUCCUUUAGGCUAAAAAAAUUAGGACCCCACUUUAUAUGUUUGUUACUCGCGCCUUUGUUUCUUUGAACUUAGAACAACUAAAAUUGUUAUAAUCUCCAAAUACUUGUAACAAUCAUUUACAUAUAGUCUAGUUCCUUCAUAUGUGAAAUCUUCUUUACGCCUGUUUUAUAUCAUUGUUGAAAACUUAAUUCCUUCCCUCUAUUUAUAUGAUCACGUAGGAAGAUUAUAAUCCAAUAAUCCCACGAAGCUUAAAUUUCGGUCGUUACCAUAGUUGUGGACCUCGAAGAAUGCCUAAUACCUUCUUUUCGAGGUAAUUUGAGUCCUUAUCCGAUCUUUGGUGAUGCAUACUAGUUAAGACAGAGUUAUUUGCCAAUAGGUGCUCUAACACACCUUAAAUAAUUAGGUGGCGACUUUUCUCUUUUAAUACCCAUUUAAAAGAGUUAUCACAUAAAGAAACCUACUUUCACCAAAAAAUGGGGCACGAUAUUACAUACAAAUAGGGCAAUCCUAUUUUUUAUCAUAUAAAUGAUUUUCAGAAUGACCCUGCCUAGCUCUCUGGAACGGGUGUAAGGUUUAAUGAAGAAAUAUAGGGACCUAGCCUUUGAGUUCUCUUCCCGACUCUUGAAAAAAGCUUCCAAUUUCUUUGACUAGUUCUACUCCCAAUGGUGUUCUAAUUAUGGAAUAUGCUUAGAAUGGUGUCUUGAAUGCAG